CUUUUUUUUUUUUACAUUAACUUUUCACAAUCGCGGGAAACCGCGAUAAGGGGAUACCUUGUGCCCCGUAAAAGGGGGCUGUCCACAUGGGUAGCGAAUGCGCAACAAGGGCUGGGUAAGACCGGUGCCAGCCGCCGCGGUAAUACCGGCGGCUCUAGUGGUAGUCUCUUUUAUGGGGCCUAAAGCGUCCGUAGCCGGUCGGUUAAAUCUUUGGUUAAAGGGUACCCCCCCCCUGGGCGGCUUCGGGGGGGGUUGCCCGACUUGGGACGGGGAGAGGUUGGGGGUACUCCUGGGGUAGGGGUGAAGUCCUGUAAUCCUAGGUGGCCCACCGGGCGCGAAGGCUUCCAACCGAAAGGGCUCCAACGGUGAGGUACGAAGGCUAGGGCCCCAAACCGGAUUAUAUACCCGGGUAGUCUUAUCUGUAAACGCUACAGACUUGGGGUGGGAGAUCCAAUAUGGUUGUCCUGUGCCGGAGAGAAUUUGUUAAGUUUGCCGCCCUGGAAAGUAUUCCCCCAGGGGGGAAACUUAAAGAAAUUGGGGGGGAAAAGGUCCCCCCUUUUUUAAACUUGCCGGAUUAUUACUUUUUUUGGGGGUUUUUUCUGAUCUUGGCGAAAUCCUGGGCAUAUCUGUUCCCGGAAAUU
rnacentral:rRNA from 1 species